rnacentral:misc_RNA from 1 species
GCAAACUUGGUCAUUUAGAGGAAGUAAAAGUCGUAACAAGGUUUCCGUAGGUGAACCUGCGGAAGGAUCAUUAAAGUGUUUACAUUGACUGUGCGCCUUCGGGCUGCACGUCGAUACACUCCAUUUACACCUGUGCACUUUUCGGUGGAAACACUUCACGGUGUUUUCAUCUGUACCACUACACUUCAUAAAAUAUGUCCUGUAUGUUAUAUUACUUUAUUGUAAUCAAAUACAACUUUCAGCAACGGAUCUCUAGGCUCUUGCAUCGAUGAAGAACGCAGC